rnacentral:tRNA from 3 species
AGGCGCGUAGCUCAGUUGGUUAGAGCAUCACCUUGACAUGGUGGGGGUCGUUGGUUCGAGUCCAAUCGCGCCUACCA